ensembl:lncRNA
AACUGAUCAGACAUAAUUUCAUUUUGUAAUUUUAUGUACUUUAUUUUAUUUUAUGAGUUUUUUUUCCAGUUCAAUUUUAAUUUAUUUUUGAUUUCAGUUUAGUUAAAAAAAUUGCCAAUGCAAUAUUUCUCAUUUUUGUUUACAGUUUUAUAUCUAAUAUUUACAUUUAUUUCAGCUUUAUUUCAAAUACGUAAAAUAUAUAUAUUUUUUUUUUAAUUUAGUUAGCUGAUGCAAACUUGUUUAUGGAUGGCUUGCUAAGUGCUCUCUGCAUAUUAAACUUAGGAGAAAUAAUUGUAACAUUGGGGGAAAACAUUACAGCACUUUAAUCAUAUCAUUGCCCUGUAUAAACUGCCCUGCAACAUAUAAGAUGGAUAAUAUUGGCUUUCCAGAUAAAGAUGCUAAUCUACUGAUUUGGGCCAGAAAAUUCAACAGUGUGAAAGAUUCAGAAGUUCUAACUGAUCUAACAAAUCACUAACAGUUCAGAUGCUGUCCUCAAUUCCCCGCUUGUUUAUCAGAAGUUACAUUGUUCUCUCCCAGAGCUACAAAAAACUAUGCUAAUAGUUCUCCUUACAAACUGGGUCACCUUCAUCCGUCAGUAAGCGUACCUCUCAGUCACCACUUACAGAGAUCAGUACCUCUCUACACUGAGAGUGCAGGGCGGGACUGUCAGCGACAUCUGACAGAUGCAGCGUUUCGUCGCGCAGCUGCGACACGUCGCGUGGUUCUCUCCAUGUGAUCAAAGCCACGUGAUGAGUUCUGGUGUCAGGCCACAGCGUCCCGUGGUCUCUACAGUGAGACAAGAGGAGCACAGAGAGUUUUUUGUGCCUGUCAGGCUGCAGCCCGGCUGAUACUUCGGAUUGAUUCGCCGUAUGAUGCGUUUGGCACUAUUGAUGUUUUAUUAAGCUUGUCGGGGAAUUUCUAGGAAGCCCUGUUUGAGUGUGUGUGGAGAUGCUGAGGAAUGUUGGCUCCCAUUAGUGACAAAGACCAUCAUGAGACUGUCACAUCAGAUCAUCAGCUAAAACAGCUAAAACAUGUCCCACGUCGCUAUAGGAGGCAGCGACGGUGUCUGGAUAAUGUGGAAGGCAGUCAUUUUUGUCUGCAGGCAUGCCGAAAUGCCUUGGAGGUGGCACUGAGGACCCUUAGAGCUCAGGAAGAUGAGAAGGAGGCCAAGCAGUCACGGUUAAAGGCCAUCCACAGUCACUCUUCUAAUCAGCAAGCACUUCUUAAUCAGCUAUGAGGUCGUCUGGAGGUGGACAAGUGAGUACCCAAUUCUUAUACACAGACGUCGGUCACGUAUGCCUUUUACAUCAAUGUACGUAAAGCACUUCACUCUUUCCUUCAGUUUCAGGUAACAAGCUAUUAUUCAGUCUGACACCACCCUCUCUUAAAGGGAUAGUUCACCCCAAAGUUAAAAGACUGUUGUCUUUUACUCUGAGUCAUGUCAUUUAAAUUCUGUAUGAUUUAUGUGGUAAGUACUGUAUCAGUAGCUUCAUUCCUGGACGAGAAUUGUUGCAUAAUAUGUUUUAUAUCUUGAAUAAACAUGGAUUGCACAUAUCUGGUGAAUUUUAG